rnacentral:rRNA from 1 species
UACGAAGGGGGCUAGCGUUGUUCGGAAUCACUGGGCGUAAAGCGCGCGUAGGCGGCGUUUUAAGUCGGGGGUGAAAGCCUGUGGCUCAACCACAGAACGGCCUUCGAUACUGGGACGCUUGAGUAUGGUAGAGGUUGGUGGAACUGCGAGUGUAGAGGUGAAAUUCGUAGAUAUUCGCAAGAACACCGGUGGCGAAGGCGGCCAACUGGACCAUUACUGACGAUGAGGCGCGAAAGCGUGGGGAGCAAACAGG